rnacentral:rRNA from 1 species
AGCGAACGUUAGCGGCGGGCCUAACACAUGCAAGUCGAACGAGAAAGCCCCUUCGGGGGUGAGUACAGUGGCGCACGGGUGAGUAACACGUAGGUAAUCUACCCUCAGGCGGGGGACAACGUUCCGAAAGGAGCGCUAAUACCGCAUAGGACCACGACCUCCACGGGGGUUGCGGGAAAAGGUGGCCUCUCCAUGGAAGCCACCACCGGAGGAUGAGCCUGCGUCCCAUCAGCUAGUUGGUAGGGUAAAGGCCUACCAAGGCGAAGACGGGUAGCUGGUCUGAGAGGAUGAUCAGCCACACUGGUACUGGAACACGGACCAGACUCCUACGGGAGGCAGCAGUGAGGAAUAUUGGGCAAUGGGCGAAAGCCUGACCCAGCCACGCCGCGUGAGUGAUGAAGGCCUUCGGGUUGUAAAGCUCUGUGGGGAGGGACGAAAACCCAUGGUUCGAAUAGGGCCAUGGCUUGACGGUACCUCCUUAGCAAGCACCGGCUAACUCUGUGCCAGCCGCCGCCGUAACAC